UUGAAUUGUUAAAGAAAUAUAUU
rnacentral:snRNA from 1 species